CGGCUAGCGCUCUUCAAUGUGAGUUAGAAGAUUGAAGCAAUACUGGAGAGAGACAUUUCUAACCAGAUGUAUAAACUUCAUGCCGUCACCGUGGUUUCCCUCAUUUUGUUUUCACCUGGAGACAUCCAUCUGAAAUACACAGACCUGAGUUCUUACUCUGCCUGAAGGACUUUGCAGGAGACGUGCCAUGAGCUGGGUCUCUUCCAGCCGCCAAGCAUCCUUCUGCCCAGUCCCACUGUCUGUUUUGUGACCAUCCUCAACAGUCGAUGCAUCAACACCAAAAUAUUUGGGAGCUAAGCAAACAGAAGUCAUGGAAUGAUUCUCAGAACCAACCACAUAAAGAGCAAAAUGCAGGCCUCCUGCAGAGGGAGUUGUUUUGAAGAUCUCAUGCCAUACCCUCCGCUACCCUUAGACCUCAGGGAGAGCUCACCACCCACAGGCCUUGCCUGGUGCUUCUCCCCAGAGCAGUUCAGACCGCCCAGCCUGGACAUGCAUGUGAACCUCUGUGAAGAGCAUUCUCCAAUUAGUAGGGAAAACAGCCUUGUGUCAGUGCUGGGAAACUGUGGGUUGGUCGACCAAGGCUGAUUCAACGGGCAGGUCACAACAAGGCCAAUGUGAAUUCUAAAAUGUUUCACUCGAAUCCUAUUACUAGCCUAGUAAACAGGACUACAAAACUUUAUGUCAAGCUCUGCAAACGACAAUAAAAAUUUCAGAAGCGCCCAAGGUGGAAAGAAGAGAGAGAGAGUCAUAAACACCCGAGUCAAGGAUUUAAGAUGAUGUCGAAGA
rnacentral:lncRNA from 1 species